UGGAGAUCAGGGUCACCGGGAGCAUCGACGCACGGACGCACGUCAUGAACUUCCCGCUGCCAAAAGUUCAGUUUUGGCUAGAUUGCAGGUUUGGAACCAACUACACCGACAUUGUGCUGCGUGAAGGAAUCAAGUCCAUGAUGACACGCAAGGCUCUCCUCGUAUCUUCACUGCCUCACAUCUCGCAGAAGUGCUCUAUCAAGAUUGACUUGAGGUCCAGACGAAAGAGGGCUAGUCUUGACGAUCUAGGAUGCUGAUACUUAGCCUUACAGCUUCAGAUUAUUUUUUAUUGUGUGAAAAAUUUUACCUAGGGAAAAUUAAUUCUUUUCGGUGUCCCCAAGAUGUAAAUAC